rnacentral:rRNA from 1 species
UACGAGGGGGGCAAGCGUUGUUCGGAAUUAUUGGGCGUAAAGGGUGCGUAGGCGGUUUGACAAGUCUCAUGUGAAAUCUUCGGGCUCAACCCGAAGCCUGCAUGGGAAACUGUCGGGCUUGAGUAUGGGAGAGGUGAGUGGAAUUUCCGGUGUAGCGGUGAAAUGCGUAGAUAUCGGAAGGAACACCUGUGGCGAAAGCGGCUCACUGGACCAUAACUGACGCUGAGGCACGAAAGCUAGGGGAGCAAACAGG